rnacentral:rRNA from 1 species
AGCGAACGCUGGCGGCAGGCUUAACACAUGCAAGUCGAGCGGGCACCUUUCGGGGUGUCAGCGGCGGACGGGUGAGUAACGCGUGGGAACGUGCCCUCUGGUUCGGAAUAACUCAGGGAAACUUGAGCUAAUACCGGAUACGCCCUUUUGGGGAAAGGCUUGCUGCCGGAGGAUCGGCCCGCGUCUGAUUAGCUAGUUGGUGAGGUAACGGCUCACCAAGGCGACGAUCAGUAGCUGGUCUGAGAGGAUGAUCAGCCACACUGGGACUGAGACACGGCCCAGACUCCUGCGGGAGGCAGCAGUGGGGAAUAUUGGACAAUGGGCGCAAGCCUGAUCCAGCCAUGCCGCGUGAGUGAUGAAGGCCUUAGGGUUGUAAAGCUCUUUUAUCCGGGACGAUAAUGACGGUACCGGAGGAAUAAGCCCCGGCUAACUUCGUG